rnacentral:rRNA from 1 species
AUGAGAUCUCUCUGCUACGUGACUUUCCUGCUCAUCUCGUCCAUCAGCAGCGUGCAACUCUCUGCAUCCGUACGCCUCUUGGCCGAAAGUCCACAUGGCCAGCCAGGUGCACCGGCGCCGCUCCCUCCCGGCGGCCUGCCGGGAAACUUCCCGGCUAAUGUCCCCGCGAGCAUGUCAGACAACAUUCCGGGGAACCUCCCUGCUAGCCUGCCAGAGAACAUGCCGAUAAACCUCCCUGCCAACGUGCCACCGGGGGUGCUUGCGAACGUGCCACCGGGGAUGCUAGCCAGUGUACCACCGGAGAUGCUGGCCAACCUCUCCACCACCAUGACGCCGGCGAUGCUGUCCAAGAUCCCGCCGGAGGCGCUGGCCAGCAUCCCGCCAGACAAGCUGCCACCAAACGUGACGCCAGAUAUGUUGGUCACCCUCGCGGCGAUGAAGCAGCAGGAGCAGCAGCAGCCAGGGCAGCCUGCUGCUGGGGCAUCCCAGGGCAACGCAGCGGCGGGCUUGCCGCAGAUCCCCAAGAUGCCCGACUUAUCGGGGCUGACGAACCUCUCUUUCCCGCCGAUGCCUUCGGCGUCCCUGCCGAAGAUGCCGCAAAACCUCUCGCUCUUCGGGUUCGACGUGAAGAUCCCAAAGUUCAUCAACAAGAUGGUAAAGGAGAACACAGAUUCCUGA